rnacentral:rRNA from 1 species
AUCAACUUUCGAUGGUAGGAUAGAGGCCUACCAUGGUGGUAACGGGUAACGGGGUGUUAGGGCACGACACCGGAGAGGGAGCCUGAGAAACGGCUACCACAUCCAAGGAUGGCAGCAGGCGCGCAAAUUACCCAAUCCCGACACGGGGAGGUAGUGACAAUAAAUAACAAUACAGGGUUCUUUCGGAUCUUGUAAUUGGAAUGAGUACAAUUUAAAUCUCUUAACGAGGAACAAUUGGAGGGCAAGUCUGGUGCCAGCAGCCGCGGUAAUUCCAGCUCCAAUAGCGUAUAUUAAAGUUGCUGCAGUUAAAAAGCUCGUAGUUGAAUUUCGGGACCAAUAUGUCGGUCGUGCUUUUGUACGUACUGAUAUAAUUGGUUUCUCCCUUCUGAAGAACCUUGAUGUCAUUAAUUUGGUGUCUUGGGGAAUCAGGACUGUUACUUUGAAAAAAUUAGAGUGUUUAACGCAGGCUCGCGCUUGAAUACAUUAGCAUGGAAUAAUGAAAUAGGACGUUUGAUUCUAUUUUGUUGGUUUCUAGGAUCGACGUAAUGAUUAAUAAGGAUAGUUGGGGGCAUUAGUAUUCAAUUGUCAGAGGUGAAAUUCUUGGAUUUAUUGAAGACUAACUACUGCGAAAGCAUUUGCCAAGGAUGUUUUCAUUAAUCAAGAACGAAAGUUAGGGGAUCGAAGACGAUCAGAUACCGUCGUAGUCUUAACCAUGAACUAUGCCGACUAGGGAUCGGAUGAUGUUAAUUUUUUAAUGACUCAUUCGGCGCCUUACGGGAAACCAAAGUGUUUGGGUUC